UGAGUGGCGGACGGGUGAGUAACGCGUGGGCAACCUGGCUUGUACAGGGGGAUAACACUUAGAAAUAGGUGCUAAUACCGCAUAACGGGGGAAGCCGCAUGGCUUUUCCCUGAAAACUCCGGUGGUACAGGAUGGGCCCGCGUCUGAUUAGCCAGUUGGCAGGGUAACGGCCUACCAAAGCGACGAUCAGUAGCCGGCCUGAGAGGGCGGACGGCCACACUGGGACUGAGACACGGCCCAGACUCCUACGGGAGGCAGCAG
rnacentral:rRNA from 1 species